rnacentral:rRNA from 1 species
CAGUCGCCACGGUAAUACGGAGGGAGCUAGCGUUGCUCGGAAUUACUGGGCGUAAAGCGCGCGUAGGCGGUUACUCAAGUCAGAGGUGAAAGCCCGGGGCUCAACCCCGGAGCUGCCUUUGAAACUAGGUGACUAGAAUCUUGGAGAGGUCAGUGGAACUCCGAGUGUAGAGGUGAAAUUCGUAGAUAUUCGGAAGAACACCAGUGGCGAAGGCGACUGACUGGACAAGUAUUGACGCUGAGGUGCGAAAGCGUGGGGAGCAAACAGGAUUAGAUACCCCAGUAGUCCCUGUCUCUUAUAC